AGACAGAGCUUUCUGGAUGGGGUCGCUGGGCCCGUGCAGUCCAGGAUGCCAGCCCACGGAAUGGUGCCGCCCACAUCCAGGGUGGUUCCUCCGUCUUUCGUUGAACCUUUCUGGAAACACUCUUGCCAACACCCUCAGAGACGCAUCUCCGUCCGAGGUGAUCCCAAAUCCAGUUCCUAGGUUUGAGCUCAGGUCCUGUGCUUGUACAAGAAUCACUUUACUGACUGAAGUGUUACUCUGCCCAGUUACUGAGUUCUUACAAGAAAAACUAGGGCACUGAACAAGAACUGGACUCUGAAACUUGGAAUGGGCACAUCUGAAUGGGCUGAGGUCGCUGUCCUCUGCAGGGUGCUGCAGCACCCGGUCCAGGUCCCUGAGUGCCCUGUCAUACUCCUGCAGCUGGGUCAAGCAGGCCACCCGGAGACGCAGAUGCGGUCUGUGAAGGGGACACAGGGAAAAAGAGCGCAGAGUGAAGUCUGUGGACAUAGUCAGCCUCUGCUGGUGUCUGGUCCUCGCCCUGUGCAGAAGACACCCACACUCUGGAGGCCUGGUCAUGGGUAGGGGUAAGGGACUGGUUUCCUCCUGUGACUGAGGGCUGCGGCUGGCCCAGCAUGUCCACCUCCCCAUAGUCCCUGAAGGCAACGUUGUUUCCCGAGCAGAGGCAGGUUUGCACCCGAAGUUGCUAAGCAUCUUCAUCUCCCCUCCCUGAUCCUGUUUCUCUAGGCCACUAUGAAGGCAGGCAACUUCAUCUCAUCAUAAAUUCGUUAGACUCACAGAAUUCCUCCUCUGCUCAAUAACCUACAACGGUUCCACAGAACCUGAGAUGGGCCUCUGGGUCCCUCCCUCCCCCUUUUAACUGCAUCCAGUCUCACAGCAUACAACACCAUAAACUCUAAAGCCUUCAGAGGCAGGUAAAGCUCCGAGCAUCCCGGGCCGAGUCACUCCUAUAGGGGAUAAACACCACAGAUGUUUUUGCUAGGAGGGCUGAAGGGUUCUGGGGGCCUAUAGGGAGAGGACCUGCUUUCCAGCAUGGAUUGCAGUGCCAUCUCCCGACACUAGACUGAAGGCUCGCACAUGAGCACCCGCUUUUCUUGUUCCCUGCUGUGUGACCCUGCCAGAGCCUCUUGCCCUCCUUGCUGCAUGGUCCACGUGGCUGCUGGAUACAGAUAGAAGGGAUUCAAAAGCUUAAAAAAAAAAAAAAAAAGCUUAAAACACAAAACUCAGCCUCUCAAGCUCCGCGCCCCGCUCCGCCCAGCUCGGGGAGGGGCAACAGCCCUGCAUACGCAGGCGCAGUGCAUAAGGAGAGGCGGGUAGUGAGACUGCCUCGUGGCAGGAAGCCAGAAAGGUCACUUCCGGGUUGGCCCCUGUUGCUGGGCAACCGAAAGCUGCCUUGCCAAAUCCAGCCCCUGGUGUCUAAGACCCCCUAGGCCUUUGGAUUUCGCCAGUGUUUUCCUGAUUCUCUUCUUGGAGCUCAGGAACCUCCCAAGCGCUCCACCUCAAGUUCCCAUUCCCUGCUUUAGUUCCAGGACUGCCCCCUCCCCGACCUCAGGAACUCAGGGUUCUCCAGUCCUAGAGCUUUGGGAUCAGGAUUCCCCUCCCGACCGUUUUGAAGUUUCAGGAUCUCACUUCCCCACCCCACUCUAGUUCUGGGACUCCUAUCUGGCACCAGGACCUCAAAGACAACCCUAGCCCCACUCAGGACUCCCCAGGUCCUGAACCUGUGUAAACUUGGAGACUCUUGCCCAUCUUCCCUGGAUGUUUGGACACUUUAUCUUACUCCUUUCUCUUAGCUCACAAGCCAUGUCCCUGGCCCUCCCUUCUUGGAGGCUUUAAUCCUUAGAACUCUAUCACAGAACUCUAUUCUAUAGAGUUCAUAACCUACAGCCUAGACAUUCCCCUCGGUUCAACUCCAGCCAGCAUCACAGUCCUGUUUGCCUUUCCCAGGCAGCAGGUCCUUUGCUUUGGGAAGCAUUCAACACGGUUCAGCUGACACUCCUGUUUCAGCCACUCUCUGAUAGGCCCUUUUCCAUGUCACUUGACUGGCAGAACUCAGAACAAUUGACAGAGGAAGGCAUUUGGAGGACACUUGUCUUGCCCCAUGUCAACUCUUGACUUGGUUCCCUCUGACCCCAAGGCCUAAAGCCUGGACUUGUUAGCAUUCCUUCUAGGCUCCACCCCACAGUUACCUGGUAUAAUGGUUUGUAUAUGCUCGGCCCAGGGAGUGGCACUAUUAGAAGGUGUGGCCCUGUUGGAGUAGGUGUGUCACUGUGGUGGUGGACUUGAAGACCCUCAUCCUAGCUGUCUAGAAGCCAGUAUUCUGCUAGCAGCCUUCAGAUGAUGAUGUAGAUCCUGCCUGGAUGCUGCCAUGUUCCUGCCUUGAUGAUAAUGGACUGAACCUCUGAAUCUAUAAGUCUGCCCCAAUUAAAUGUCUUUUACGAGGUUGCCUUUCAGAGGUCCUGAGUUCAAUUCCCAGCAACCACAUGGUGGCUCACAACCAUCUGUAAAUAGGAUCAGAAGACCUAUUCUGGCAUAUCUGAAGACAGCAACAGUGUACUCACAUUAAAAAAAAAAAGUUGCCUUGGUCAGGGUGUUUGUUCACAGCAGUAAAACCCUAACUAAGACACCUGGCAACAUACAGGUGUGUCCGACUCAGUAUAAAGAGAGCUGUUUGCCCCUCCUCACUCUCUUACUCUCUUCCCUUCUCUGUCCCUUCUGUCUCCAUUCCCCUCCCCCCUCCAUGUCUUCAUGGUCUCUCUCUCUCUCUCUCUCUUUCUCUCUCUCUCUCUCUCUCUCUCUCUCUCUUUCUCUCUCCUCAAUUUCCCUCCCCAUCUCCUAAAUAAACUCUGUUUCAUACUAUA